GGAGGGUCUUCUUUAAGGCAACUUGAAUAUGGUUGGAUUAUUAUAUCUACCUUUUCUUAUCAUGACCUAUUGUGGUCAUGCUGCUGGAGAUAUCUCAACAGUGAGGGUUCAGCCUGGAGUUUCCACCAGUCUUGAGUGCCACAUUCAGCUAGAGGGCAGCUUUAAUGUAUUUUGGAUCAAAUUUCCACUUAAUAAAGCUCCGGUCUGUAUAGCUACAGUUAAAACCUUUGCGGAUGAUGCAGCAAUGUGUGAACAGUUUGAAAACCAUUCCAGGAUCAAAGUCACAUGGAACAAAAAGAACUUCAAUUUAACAUUUUCAUCAGUGGAACAAGCAGAUGUUGCGAUAUACUUUUGUGGGACAUAUAAUUAUGGACAGCAUUUUUUUGGAAAUGGGAGUGAGCUCAUCCUUGAAGAACAUGUUGAUGAAGUAUCAUCGAACAUAAAUGAAAAAAAGCAAGUGUUUGAAUAUUUAGUUCCAGCAUUAACAGUAACUAAUGUGGCAUCAAUAUUUCUCAUCAUUUGGUUCCUUUUAAAGAAGAACAGAUCAGGUGUAACAGGUGAAUCCAAGGAUGCAAGUGACAAAACAGAUGAAGUAAACUACGGUGCUCUGACUUUUCAUGACAAAAAGAGGAGAACUGUAGAGAAGAGGACACCACGUGGACACCAUGUGGACACCACGGUCAUUUACGGAGCUGUACGACACCAAGAGGAAUUAUAACUCACAGAAGAAAACGUAUCUUAAUACAUAUCUUAAUUCACAUGCAGUACUAUGUGUGCUUUUGUAACGUUCUGUAAAAUCAACCCUCACAUUGUUCUAACUCUGUUAUAUGAAAUCCAAGCCCCACUUAGCAAUGAGAGGAAAAUAAAAACAUUACACUCCCCUGAAAUUAAAUCUGUUUGAUACAGAAUGUGGAAUUUUGUUGAAGAAAUUAAAAUGAGAAUGAGUGUAGGGGAAUUAAGUGUAUGGCACUAUAGUCACAAACUAUUCAUGAAUAGGCCAAAAUCCUGAAAAGCAC
ensembl:lncRNA